UGUGCAUAUUUGGUGGAUCGAUAUUUGUUCUUGUGGCAGUUACGGUUCAGUCGACUCUCUCGAAACUCUCUCAGGGCAUCAUCAUUGUUGAUCUUCAAGUCAGUUGGUUCGGUGGUAGCAACGUUUGUUUAUCGUAGUGAACCACACAUAUAGCAGGCCUGGCUUACAAAUCCUUUUAGAAGAUCCAAAGUUCAUGGUGUAGAAAAGGAUAUUGUUGAAGAUGGACUUCACUUUUGGAUAAGAUGUAGUGCAACAUCUCCCACAUCUCAUGAUGUUGCUGAUGCCUAAGACCUCCCCUCUAAAAGACAUGUGCCUCUACCAAGUGAGCUAGCC